rnacentral:rRNA from 1 species
UACGUAGGGUGCGAGCGUUAAUCGGAAUUACUGGGCGUAAAGCGUGCGCAGGCGGUCUGUUGAGACCGCUGUGAAAUCCCCGGGCUUAACCUGGGAACUGCAUCCGAUACUGGAUGGCUUGAAUCCGGGAGAGGGAUGCAGAAUUCCAGGUGUAGCGGUGAAAUGCGUAGAUAUCUGGAGGAAUACCGGUGGCGAAGGCGGCAUCCUGGACCGGCAUUGACGCUGAUGAGCGAAAGCUAGGGGAGCAAACGGG